rnacentral:rRNA from 1 species
GUAAGACGUAGGGCGCGAGCGUUGUCCGGAUUUAUUGGGUUUAAAGGGUGCGUAGGCGGCCUGUUAAGUCAGGGGUGAAAGACGGUGGCUCAACCAUCGCAGUGCCCUUGAUACUGGCGGGCUUGAAUGUACUUGAGGUAGGCGGAAUGUGACAAGUAGCGGUGAAAUGCAUAGAUAUGUCACAGAACACCGAUUGCGAAGGCAGCUUACUAAAGUAUGAUUGACGCUGAGGCACGAAAGCGUGGGGAUCAAA